GAAAUCAAAGGCAAUAUGAGACAUGCUUGGACUUAAUUGUUUCUGAAGCCUGUUCUUCCCUCUGUGGAGUGAAGUCAAUCACACUGCUCUCUGGAGCACAAUGAGGGCUGGGAAAUGCUCUGCCCUUGACAAUGUGUUUGGAGAGACUGCUUCUAAGCCACAUCACAGUGAUGUGAUGUCCUGGUUUUUACAAUCUUGGUCUCUUUCUUGGUAAGGAAGACCCACAAAGAUAAGCUGUUUGUCACAGAUUUGCCACAUGUGUGUUUGGACUGGACUCCCUCGCCUUGAUGGGGAUGGGCUGUGAUGACCUCAGGCUCUCAGUCUUUUGUGGCCCCAGGUCCACGCCUGUCUACUCCUCUGCGGUUUCAAUGGGAUACAAAGGCCCAGAGAAACUGCUGAGAGCCUUGAUUCUGCAGCCUGAACCAGGCAGGCCUCUCUGAUAGGAGUGG
rnacentral:lncRNA from 1 species